UUAUAUAGCCAAUUGAACCGGCCAUCCGUAAUUGUGGUUUAGGUUUGAUUAGUGGUAAAUUGACACAUCAGGGUCAAGAGAAAAGCAAUCUCAAUUCAAUAAUCCUGCGUCAGAGUUUAUUGGUUUUGAAUCGGGUUUCUCUAGAUAUUAAUGCUAUCGGCUCAUUAAACCUAUAGAGCGUCUCUUACGGUUGUCAGUCGAUUAGGGUAGUAAUUAGUGAAGCGUCUUCCUGAUUAUCGAAUAAUUAAGGAGAAAUAAGAUCACGUCAGAAGCGUCUUCGGUGGUUAUAACUGG
rnacentral:lncRNA from 1 species